rnacentral:lncRNA from 1 species
UCAUUAAUCCAUAUUCUAUAACUUGCCGAACUGAUCUAUUAUAUAUAUAAUAUAAUGCUGCAACAAGAAGAUUGGUGGAGCCAUUUUAAUCCAUGUCAUCGCCACAUCAGCUUGGUGUAAGAUAUUUUAAUCCAAUCAUAUAGCCACGUCAGUCAUAGACAUUACGCAUAGAAUCUUUUGAUCUCCCGGUUUCCAAAACCUCUGCCUCUUCAAUUUCCUGUUAUAUCCCGACUCCUGCUACAUGUUUCCUCUUAUCUCAUCACUCCUGCCAAGUGAUGAAUAAAUUCUUGCUGGCCGCAUUUUAUUUGUUCUGGUUUUAGCGAAUAAUCGACAUGUUCUUUGACAAUCAGCAAAAAAGCGUGCCUUCAAUGUGUUCGCAUAAAUGAUUGAGUGCCUUCUAUGUAUCGGAUGUCUUGCGGAGCUAAUAAAAUCAAUCACACUGGUGAGUUUAGAGUUACGGCUGGCAUUUUAAUUCUAUUUUCUUUUAGAUUAUGUUCAUGUUGGAAAUGAUCGGNNN